AUUGUAUUCACUUUUAAUGGUUCACUCCCCAAAGACAGAUCUCCCAUAAGACAGACACAAUGAGUACACUAAUUAGCUGAGACUGGCUGUCCACCCCUAUUUACUUAAUGAGCUGAUCCAGAGUCACUACAGAGUAUAGUAACAACACACUCCUAUCAC